UAAGCCAGAAGAGGCGCGUCAUUCAGGCAGAGUGUCAGAGGAUUCGGCAUCCAAAGAAGACACUUCAGGGGAUAUGACGCCGAGGCGAUUUUCCUGCCGAAGGGGAAAUCGUCGACCACAAGGGCUGAAUCCCUUGGGUUGUCACCAAUGUAAUCCGCAAACAUAUUGCGGAAAGUAGAACCCGCACAGUGAGCGCCCAUGCGCUAUCACAGGGAAGGUUCUAGGCAAGGUGGGGCGCUUCUGGGUGU
rfam:Leminorella grimontii ATCC 33999 = DSM 5078 strain ATCC 33999 GLGR.assembly.27, whole genome shotgun sequence.